rnacentral:rRNA from 1 species
GAUGAACGCUGGCGGCGUGCCUAAUACAUGCAAGUCGAGCGAACAGACGAGGAGCUUGCUCCUCUGACGUUAGCGGCGGACGGGUGAGUAACACGUGGAUAACCUACCUAUAAGACUGGGAUAACUUCGGGAAACCGGAGCUAAUACCGGAUAAUAUAUUGAACAGCAUGGUUCAAUAGUGAAAGACGGUUUUGCUGUCACUUAUAGAUGGAUCCGCGCCGCAUUAGCUAGUUGGUAAGGUAACGGCUUACCAAGGCGACGAUGCGUAGCCGACCUGAGAGGGUGAUCGGCCACACUGGAACUGAGACACGGUCCAGACUCCUACGGGAGGCAGCAGUAGGGAAUCUUCCGCAAUGGGCGAAAGCCUGACGGAGCAACGCCGCGUGAGUGAUGAAGGUCUUCGGUUCGUAAAACUCUGUUAUUAGGGAAGAACAAAUGUGUAAGUAACUAUGCACGUCUUGACGGUACCUAAUCAGAAAGCCACGGCUAACUACGUG